rnacentral:rRNA from 1 species
CACGUAGGGGGCGAGCGUUGUCCGGAAUUAUUGGGCGUAAAGAGCUUGUAGGCGGUUUGUCGCGUCUGCCGUGAAAAUUCGAGGCUCAACCUCGAACUUGCGGUGGGUACGGGCAGACUAGAGUGUGGUAGGGGAGACUGGAAUUCCUGGUGUAGCGGUGAAAUGCGCAGAUAUCAGGAGGAACACCGAUGGCGAAGGCAGGUCUCUGGGCCACUACUGACGCUGAGAAGCGAAAGCAUGGGGAGCGAACAGG